rnacentral:rRNA from 1 species
UCCAGCUCCAAUAGCGUAUAUUAAAGUUGUUGCAGUUAAAAAGCUCGUAGUUGAACUUCAGACCUGGCUGGGCGGUCUGCCUAACGGUAUGUACUGUCCGGCUGGGUCUUACCUCUUGGUGAGCCGGCAUGCCCUUCACUGGGUGUGUCGGGGAACCAGGACUUUUACCUUGAGAAAAUUAGAGUGUCAAAGCAGGCUUAUGCCCGAAUGCAUUAGCAUGGAAUAAUAAAAUAGGACGUGCGGUUCUAUUUUGUUGGUUUCUAGAGUCGCCGUAAUGAUUAAUAGGGAUAGUUGGGGGCAUUAGUAUUCCGUUGCUAGAGGUGAAAUUCUUGGAUUUACGGAAGACUAACUAUUGCGAAAGCAUUUGCCAAGGAUGUUUUCAUUAAUCAAGAACGAAGGUUAGGGGAUCGAAAACGAUCCAGAUAGCCGGUGUAGUCUUAACAGUAAACUAUGCCGACUAG